GUUAAUAACUGGGCUGCAGGUCUAGAAUCAGAUUACGAUAGGAGAGCUGUUAAUAACUGGGCUGCAGGUCUAGAAUCAGAUUACGAUAGGAGAGCUGUUAAUAACUGGGCUGCAGGUCUAGAAUCAGAUUACGAUAGGAGAGCUGUUAAUAACUGGGCUGCAGGUCUAGAAUCAGAUUACGAUAGGAGAGCUGUUAAUAACUGGGCUGCAGGUCUAGAAUCAGAUUACGAUAGGAGAGCUGUUAAUAACUGGGCUGCAGGUCUAGAAUCAGAUUACGAUAGGAGAGCUGUUAAUAACUGGGCUGCAGGUCUAGAAUCAGAUUACGAUAGGAGAGCUGUUAAUAACUGGGCUGCAGGUCUAGAAUCAGAUUACGAUAGGAGAGCUGUUAAUAACUGGGCUGCAGGUC